rnacentral:misc_RNA from 1 species
UGUUGGUUUCAUUGUUGAUGGCGUUGCGAAUCCAUAGGCUUGUUCUUUCAAAUGAGGGGGGAAGUCCUUAUAAAAUCGUGAUUGUAUCACUUUAAGUGCUUCCAUGGCUAGCUCCAGAGGAUUUAUGGCCUUGUGUGAUAAUCCACUGUGAAAGAGUUUCCCUGUCACAUGAAGUUUCCAAGGUAUCAUACCACCAGUACCAAUGCAAGGUUGUUUGUCUGCUGUGUCAAUCCAGAAUAGAGGACCUCCUUUUAGCUUAUUAAGCAG